rfam:Gossypium raimondii chromosome 2, whole genome shotgun sequence.
AUUCCAUGAUGAGGGCAUUUUCGUAAAAAUUCUUUAAAUCUUUCUCAUGCCUCAUAGAAAGACUCAUCAUCCAUCUAUUGGAAAGUAGUGAUUUCAUUUUGCAACU